rnacentral:rRNA from 1 species
UGGGGAAUCUUGCACAAUGGAGGAAACUCUGAUGCAGCGACGCCGCGUGAGACGAUGAAGCCCUUCGGGGUGUAAAGCUCUUUCGACGGGAACGAUAAUGACGGUACCCGAAGAAGAAGCUGCGGCUAACUACGUGCCAGCAGCCGCGGUAAUACGUAGGCAGCAAGCGUUGUUCGGGAAAUUUACUGGGCGUAAAAGAGUGUGUAGGCGGUGCUCUAAAGUCUGUUGUGAAAAUCUCCCGGCUUAACUGGGAGGGGUGCGGCGGGAAAACUGGAGUGCUUGAGUGUGGGAGAGGUAAGCGGAAUUCCUGGUGUAGCGGUGAAAAUGCGUAGAUAUCAGGAGGAACACCUGUGGUUGUUAGACAGCUUACUGGACCACGACUGACGCUGAGACACGAAAAGCGUGGGUAGCAAAAACA